AAGGACCAGAAGAACUGUAAACCUGAUGUAAAGUGUAAUCUAAAAAAGCACAAAGGCUUCCAGACAUCAAAAGCAGUGCAAUGCAAACUUAAAUAUUUGAUUCCUAGAAGCAGCCACAUAACAAGGACAAUCUGGCUGAAAUUUAUUUAAUGAGGAGAAUAAGAGGAAGAAACAAAUGAGGCAGGACAGCAGCAGAAGGUUCAUGGUGGGUUGAAAAGAAGAGAGAAAAGCAGGGAUGUGAUUAUCUCUCUGUAUGUCUGCAAGAAGAACUGAACUUGAGCAAAACAAAAGACUUCACAAAGCUGAUGGAGCCGUAAGAUGGGAAGCAGUUUGUUCCCCCAAAUAAAAUCAGAUCAGGGGGAUUUAGUAUGGAGGUUUCCUCAGGAUCUCGGAGAGGAAGUCAGGCAGUAAAAGG